UACGUAGUUAGCCGGGGCUUCUUAGUCAGGUACCGUCAUUUUCUUUCCUGCUGAUAGAGCUUUACGUACCGAAAUACUUCUUCACUCACGCGGCGUCGCUGGAUCAGGGUUUCCCCCCAUUGUCCAAUAUUCCCCACUGCUGCCUCCCGUAGGAGUUUGGGCCGUGUCUCAGUCCCAAUGUGGCCGUCCACCCUCUCAGGCCGGCUACUGAUCGUUGCCUUGGUGGGCCGUUACCCCGCCAACCAGCUAAUCAGACGCGGGCCCAUCCCAUACCACCGGAGUUUUUCACACACCUUCAUGCGAAGCUGUGCGCUUAUGCGGUUUUAGCACCUGUUUCCAGGUGUUAUCCCCCGGGUAUGGGGCAGGUUGCCCACGCGUUACUCACCCGUCCGCCACUAACUUACACUUCCGUUAGUCAAUGCAAGCAUCUCCUGCUUCUGUGUAAGUCCGUUCGACUUGCAUGUGUUAGGCACGCCGCCAGCGUUCAUCCUGAGCCACGGAGUCAAACUAC
rnacentral:rRNA from 1 species